UACAGAGGGGGCAAGCGUUAUUCGGAAUUAUUGGGCGUAAAGGGCGCGUAGGCGGCUACACAAGUGGCGGGUGAAAUCCCUCGGCUUAACCGAGGAACUGCCUGCCAGACUGUGUGGCUUGAGACCGGGAGAGGUGAGUGGAAUUCCCAAGUGAGCGGUGAAAUGCGUAGAUAUUGGGAGGAACACCAGUGGCGAAGGCGGCUCACUGGACCGGAACUGACGCUGAGGCGCGAAAGCGUGGGAGCAAACAGG
rnacentral:rRNA from 1 species